AAAAAAAAACAUCUCCAACUUCUUCUUCCUCUUCAACAAUCAACAUCUUCUUCUUCUUCUUCUUCUUUGGAGUCUAUGAGAGAGAGAAGCUUGGAAAGGGAAAUCAGUUUCUCUUCCAAAAUCUUCUUCUUCCUCUCUUUUCUCUUUCAUUGUUUUUUUUUAAAAAAAAGUCUCAAACACAUCCAUUUCUAUGAGAAUCCAUGAAAAAAGUUACACAAUUGAGUAAUACCCAAGCCAUGUUUCUGAAUUUCCCAAGCUUUUGAAAAGCUAAACACACCGAUCAUCCUCCAUUCUCUCUCUCUCUCUCUCUCCCUCCCUCUCUUCAACCACCAUUUUCCGCCAUGAACGCCAAAACCCAAGCUCUGUUACUCAAGAUCUUCUUCCUUCUCUUCGCUUUCAACACCCUAACUCUCUGCAUUUACUUCACUUCCCACUCCAAACCCUCCCCUCCCACUUCCCCUCAUCGGAACCCCACUUCCGAUAACCGCUUCCCCUUCCCGGAAAACUCACAUUCUUCCAAGCCCUGGCCCAUCUUACCUUCUUAUCUCCCUUGGUCUCCCUCCCCUGUCCCUCCGCGUUCCUGUGAGGCCUAUUUUGGCAAUGGCUUCACUCUCCGUACAGAUCUUUUCAAACCUAAACUCGCCGGGAAACUCGCCGGGUGGUUCCGCUGUUGGUAUAGUGAGACUCUUGAGAGUUCGAUAUGUGAAGGAGGGAGAGUGCGAAUGUGGCCAGAGAGGAUCUUUAUGUCCCGUGGAGGUGAGCGGAUUGAAGAAGUGAUAGGAAGAAAGGAAGAGAUGGAGUUGCCGGAAUUUCGCAGUGGCGCUUUUGAGCUUGACGGUGGCGAGGAAAGGGUUCUUGCCGAUGAGAAGUUUCUUGAUCGGUUUGUACAGGAAGGGGAAGUUCAGAGGCACACUAUGCGCGCAUUGUUUGGAUCGUUUCGAGUUGUUUCUGAGAGUGACUUCGGAUGCCAAGAGUGGAUCGAGGAGCCUGUGCUUCUGGUGACGAGGUUUGAGUAUGCAAAUCUUUUUCACACUAUUACAGAUUGGUAUAGUGCUUAUGUGGCUUCGAGAGUCGUCGGGUUGCCUAAUCGACCUCAUCUGAUUUUCAUCGACGGUCAUUGUAAGACACCUUUGGAAGAGACAUGGAAGGCAUUGUUUUCAAGUCUUAGAUAUGCCAAAAAUUUCAGCAGUCCGGUUUGUUUUCGCCACGUGAUCUUCUCGCCUCUCGGAUAUGAAACUGCGUUAUUCAAGGGUCUGUCUGAGGGUAUCAAUUGUCAUGGAGGGUCAUCUCAUGAUCUUUGGCUAAAACCUGAUGACCAUAAAACUGCUAGAUUAUCUGAGUUUGGAGAAAUGGUUAGAGCAGCUUUUGGUUUCCCAGUUGACAGACAAGUUGAAAGGUCAACCUCAUUCCACAACGUUCUCUUUGUGCGCCGUGAGGAUUAUUUAGCGCAUCCUCGACAUGGUGGUAGAGUUGAAUCCAGACUUACUAAUGAACAAGAAGUCUUUAAUGCUUUGCAGAACUGGGCAUCUAACCACAGAGAGUGUAGGAUAAACUUAGUGAAUGGGUUGUUUGCACACAUGUCGAUGAAGGAACAACUUCGAGCAAUCCAAGAUGCCUCUGUCAUUAUCGGGGCUCAUGGUGCAGGCCUUACUCACAUAAUAUCUGCCUUACCAAAAACCGUGAUCUUGGAAAUCAUCAGCAGUCUAUUUAGAAGACCCCAUUUUGCGUUGAUUGCUCAAUGGAAAGGCUUGGAUUACCAUGCCAUCAAUCUCUCAGGAUCACAUGCCGAUCCAGAAGUUGUUAUCGAACACCUUUCGCGCAUCAUGGCGAGCCUUGGAUGCUGAUAACCUUUUUGCAAUUUAUCACAUUAUUCUCUAUUACGUAUGAGGAGAUGAAUAGUGGAGGAGAAUCCAGCACUCUGUAUCUACAAACACACUUGGCUGGAUGCUCCCACUUUGACAAGUUUGAGUUUGAAGAUACUGAUUCACCACUUGUACCUAACUUAUCAUAGAUUUGGUUUGAAGUAAGAGUUUACCAACCAAGCUCAACGACGGCAAAAAUUCGGGAUAUUUAAGCUUCAAAAAUGGGAUUGAAUUGAAAAGAAGUUGGAAGAUGAUUGCGUAGUUUAGGAAGCAAAAGAGAUUGAUUUGGAGUUGAGAAUAUUGAAUAUGUGGAAGAAGAAGAAAGGUGUUAUUAUGAUAUUAAACUAGGAAUGAAUGAAAUGUGUUAGUGUAAUGGUCAAAGAGACAAGUGGUAAAAGCAAGUCAAAGAUGCUAGAGAGAGAGAGAGAGAGAGCAUCUCAUUCACAAAUUGCCAUUUGCUGGAAGGAAAAGGAGUGCAUAAGAGAAGAAAAAAGAAAGUGUUUGUUUUCAAAGUCACACACCAUAUUACAAAGGUGUAGGGAUUUGGAGAUAGAAAUUAUAGAAUAUAGAGAAUCAUUUUUUCUAUAUAAUAUUUGAUUUAGGGAGUACAUUUCCCAAUCUCUGUUACUUUUAAAUUGUUUAAUUAAUUCCUGAAUGGAGGAACCACUCCCAAGGCACUGUGAAACAUACACUGAAUUUCAUACUAAAUAUCAAAUUCUACUGUGCCAAUUUGCCACUCUCUCCACCUACUUUUCAAUCUUAUGUGGAAUACCUUCUUAAAUUACAUGUCUAUGAAAUUAAAUUCAUAUUUACAAAUUUUGUACCUAAUAAUAUGUUGGUUAAACCUUUUUUUUUUUUUUUGUUUAAAUAUUGUAAUAUUAGAGAUGGAAGGAUUAAGCACUCUCGAUAUUUUACAUUGUAAGAUUUUGAGGUGGUGGAGAGUUGUUAAGAUUGAAGUUUCAAUUUUGAAAUAUGGAAUUAUUUAUGGACA